rnacentral:lncRNA from 1 species
UCUCCACUCAGGCUUGAGUGUUCUUUCCUUUCUCAAUCCUCACUCCCCAACUCAGGCUGUUUCAUGCUGUGACAGCUGGACCACCACAAGAGGCACCCAAACAGGGACCUGAGUAUCAAGGGAUCCAGUGAAGGGCACCACAGAGAAGAACGAGGCCUCAACAAAAAGCUAUUCAUAGCUUUGAGAAGAGGCACAACACUUCUCACUACAGCCAGAUACACAGCAAUACUUUAAACAUCUGUGAAGCUCCCCUACCUUCCCAUGAUGCCAGCCCUGGCAUGGGCUCUUUGAACCAC